ensembl:lncRNA SNHG5 small nucleolar RNA host gene 5
GCUGCGCACUUCGGUCUUUUACGUCGGCCUUCGCGAGCGUCUGGGCGGGUGGUAGGUGAGUGGGUAUUGCGGGCUAGUAUCCGAGCAAAAGAUGGUGGCGCAGGCCGAGUUAAGAGCUUUAAUCCUGUGAAGACAUCUUAGUGAAGAGUUUAGAGUGCUGAGAGUUGAAAGCUUGCACGUGGGAAACGUGCGGCCGGACUGCCACAUGUACUGAGGUUGAGUCGUGACGGCCACAGGCUCCGAGUUUUGGCGUGAGGAACCGCUGAUCGGCCACGGGCGCCGAACUUGCUGGCCUCCGGCAUGUGCCUGAGCGGCGGCGGAAAAACCACCUUAAUUGGGGCGGAGGGUUAGUUUUAACAGCAAAGGGCCUUUACUAAAAUGGCGAAGGCCUUCCGUCGGCGUUGUUUUAAAAUGGGAAGCCUCGACCCUGUAUUGAAACUGAGCUGUUCGAAGGCGGCGUUGUGUGCAAUUCGGAUUAAUGAAGGGGAAGGGUUUUGUGUGGAAAAACGCCUUGGAGUGUGACAUUUCUGCGAGAAUGCUUAAAUACCGAUUUCCCGCAGGAACAAUGGCGCUGUCUUCAGUGGCACAGUGGAGCAGCUCUGAAGAUGCAAAGAUACACGAAAAAACUUCCAGAACAUCUGGGAGAAUAUUUAAUGGAAAAUCGCUUGGUUAAAACCUGACACUUUUAACAGUGAGGGUCGCUGUCUGCCCAUUGAUAGAGGCCAGAUUGUCUUGGAAGUUCCAAAGUUGCAACGAUUUCUUUAGUUGAAUCCAUGGACAUGAAACCCACAGAUAUAGAGGGUUGGCCCGGUGCAGUGGCUCACGCCUGUAAUCCCAGCACUUUGGGAGGCCAAGGCGGGUGGAUCACCUGAGGUCAGAAGCUUGAGACCAGCCUGGCCAACAUGGUAAAACCCCAUCUCUACUAAUAAUACAAAACAAUUUGCUGGGCAUGGUGGUGCACGCUUGUAAUCCAAGCUACUCCAGAGGCUGAGGCAGAAGAAUCGCUUGAAUCCGAGAGGCAAAGGUUGCAGUGAGCCCAGAUCACACCACUGCUCUCCAACCUGGGCAACAAGAGCAAAACUCCGUCAAAAAAAAAAGAUACAGGGUCAACUGUACACAUUAAACACUUCUAUCAACUAGUGAUGUCAGUCUUGUCCAUUGUAUUAUUGCCUAUCUUACUAAACAGUCAUAUUUCAGGAAGUACAAUAUACUCAAAAACUAAGUUAAUGUUCUUUGUAGAUUUAUGGUUAAUGGAUGAUUCAUAUAAUAGAAACUUAAAUUUAUUUGACCAUUCUAUUUAAUAUAGAAUAAAUACAACUAGCCAGGCAUGGUGGCUCAUGUCUAUAAUGCCAGCACUUGGGGAGGCCAAGGUGGGAGGCUCACUUGAGCAUAGGAAUUCAAGGCCAGCCUGGGCAACACAAUGUGAGACCCGUCUCUAUGAAAAUUUUAAAAAUUAGCCAAGCAUGGUAACACAAGUCUGUGGUCCCAGCUACUUGGGAGGCUGAGGCGCGAGAAGUCCAGGAGGUCAACGCUGCAGUGAGCUGUGUGUGUGCCACUGCAUCCUAGCCUGGGCAACAGAGCAAGACCCUGUCUCAAAAAUAAAGAAUAAAUACAACCUAUUAAGCUUGAGAGAUCCAGUGAAAUCCAAAUAAGAGAAACUGUGUCCUACACAGUUUUCUGUUAACCAUUUUCUUGGUAUUUAAAUUAUUUAUCAAAUUUUAACUUCAAUAAAAAAUUAUUCUGGAGAACACAUACCUCUAGAGUAAGUAAAGUAUACACUUUCAAUUUUUAGACAUGAGGUUUUGAGGUGUUUGACUGUAUCUAAUUUCCUAAAGGCUCUAUUUUUUAACCUACAAAAAUUAUAAAAAGAUAUAUAAAAGAUAUGAAAUGUAAAAAUAAGGAAGAUAUGAAGAU